UUUAUAGAGGGAGCAGUCGAGAGAGGAGAGAAGGGCAGGGGGAGGAGAAGGGGUACGGCGGCGGCGGCGGUGGUGAAAGAGGGAGGGAGGACCGGCGGAGCAGAGGAGGUGGAGGCGGAGGUGGGGGAGGAGGAGGGAACGGAAGCGUGGCCGAUCGUGCCGGGCUGGUGCGCAACACCUGCUCCUCCGGUGUCGAGCCCUACGUUCGUUCUCCUUGGUCCGCCAAGAGGAAGGUACCGUCGCGGGCCUGAGCUCGGCUUCGGCUCCUCGCGCCGAAACUAGGUCCGAGCUGUCCUCCUCAUCUCGUCGUCGGUGCGUGUGGUCGGCUGCCCGGACAGGAGGAGACGCGGAGGAGAGUGCAUGGGAGCCGCCGGCGGAGGAGCAGGAGACUGACGACGGCGUACCACCUCUGCCGCAUCUGCCCGAUCCGUCCGGUGUUACCGACCAGCUCGUGGGUGGGGCCGCUGGAGGACGUCUCCUCCUCUCCAGCUCAUGUCUAGGUCAAGUACCUCCUCUACGGUCGUGUCCCAGUUAGUCAGAGAACAAGCAGGAAACCUACCAAGCGACGAGCGUCUCCAAUAAACGAGUAAGAGACGAGCAGAUACAGCAGUCGCUCUUCCAAUAAAGCACACGAACCUCAAACACCCACGAAAUGGAGGAAAAAUAGCAGAACAGCAAACGAAGAAAUGGACGGGUCUAGGACUACAACAACAGAAGUUAACGAAACGUCAGAUUGUGAUAAUCGAGAGGUCAAGAAGCAGAACGACAGUUCGUUUAGUGAUAGUUUCUCUUCCUCCACCUAUGUAAUACCUUAGACUGUAAUAGGGACAAUCACGAUUAUCUAGGUUCGUGCGUUUCUUUGUUUGCUAAAAUGUCUGGCCUAUGGUAUCGCUUUAGUUGUUUCUUCAACGUCACCACCUCCUAUAUAAGAGGCAGUACUCACCUACGUUACCGCCUCCUGUUUUUUUCUCCACCCCACCUCGAACUCGAAGGAUGCUUACCACAGAGAGACGACGGUCUAUCCUCCGAGAAGACCCCUCAACCACCGUGUCCCCGUGAACGACGGAUACUUGUCCGUCGAAACGUCCGAUAUUUUAAGAAUGUCCCUAACAUACCCAAAUACUAGUCUCUGAUAUUAAAGGUAACACAAACAGAUAUGCCUGAGCCAUCGAAGACGCCAACGAUAACGGCGCAGACGACACUUCAUAUGCCGAUUUGACCUCUUCCUGGCACGGGCAGACGAGGAAAGCACACGAUCGCACCAAGGAGAGAGGUCACCAUUGACGGACGUCCGUGUCGAAUGGGACAGCUAGGGUAGAACGAGUACACGGAGGAGGGCGCAGCUAGAUGAAGUGAUCCAGGAGGAGUGGGGAGUGUACGGGACGGUCCUCGCCGCCACGUUGUCGCUGCUACGACGUGCUCUAGUUUGGUCUCCUUACACUAGGUGUAAACAGAAACGAAGGUACAGGUGCCCUCUUUUAACGACUUGUAAAACAGUAGGGGUCUAAAGGAGGGGUGCCAUACCAGAAACGUACUCUUCGUGUCUACCCGUACGGCUGUACCUGGUAUAGUCCAGUAACGGGAUAAGAAAGGUGUAAAAAAUACAGUAUAAAGUUUAAAAGUUAAGUAAACAAAAGGUAUAACGAGUACAAGUAUCGUAAAGACAACCCGUGAAUAGGCAACUAUUAAAUAGUAAGGAGAUAAUUAAUUACUAGAGUAGCGUAGCGUCAUCGUGUGACUCGAGAUACAACAAAACAGGACAAAAGAGGUUCCAGGAAACGUCCAAGGAACCCAUUUCGAACGACUAACAGUUACACUAAUCUCCCGGUCACCAGCUUACUACGUAAAGGAUAUCCAGAUAGGUCACCUCUACCGCAGUGGACGGCCUCUUCGCUCCCCCGAUAGGGAGCUUCCCCGCCACACUACCGCCACCAUCUGUGGGGUCCAACACGGGUAGCUGCGUCGUCCGUCACACACCCACUUGAAGAUAUUCAAAGAGUUGGCGUCCGGCUUGGUGGCGAGCUUUCGGCGGUAGGAGAAGGUGAGGUAGUUGUCCUGUUGCAGAGGACGCAAGAGCUAGGCCGCGGUGGUGUAUAGCACUAAGAACUAGCCCGUGUCCGGCGGCGGUAUUCUCUCGAAGAGACCACACCAGAAGUACGAACCAGACCUCUUCGUCCCCUCCUACUCAUCCUGCCCGUACCCCUUCCUCGUCGGUCCGGCCUCGAGGCCGUAGCGAGCGCAGUACCAGCUUACCUCGGCCGGUAGAGAUACCCGACGACGAGCGGCCAGCAGCAAGGGGUUAGUCUCAACGAGUAGAAACCGAAGUGGUAGAAGGAGGGGACUAGUACGUAGAUAAAAUCUAGUAUAUUAAUACGAUAUAGUAUAUACAACAAAUCAACUCUGAACACGUACGUAACCGUAACUAAAUCUGUCUCUAUAACGUACUAAACAUGUAUUUUCCUCAUGCCUACUAGAUUCUUAUUUACGAGCUUAUUUCAAUCAUCACUCUAAAUCCAUCUCCAAUGGACGUGACAAGACAAAAUACAUCUAAGAUUCUACGUUUUAGUAUGUACCAGGACAAUCAUCAAACAAACUCAACACUCAAAUGCGUAAAAGGGAACCUUACAAACAUACACACUAGUGAACGAAAAUCCAAGGGUC
rnacentral:rRNA from 1 species